rnacentral:lncRNA from 1 species
UCCAAAGCAGCGAACAAACAGUGCUAAUCUACUCUCUCUCUCUAACUUUACAUAAUAAACUAAUGCAUAUAUGAAUGAACACGUAUAAACGACAGCUAUUACUUCUCGUCUCAAUCCCGCAAAAUUUGCGCUAUUAAACAGUUGCCAAUGAAUCGGCGGAACGAUCCCAAUCCGUUCGAUCAGGGAGAACCUGAAAUCAAUCCAUUUUCGGUACCGCCUUCUGCGUUUCUCCAUCCUCUUUCUUUAUCGUGUUUUUGACUGUUUGUGAGCAGGGAUUCAAUGCGGCUGUGCUAUGUACUCUUUUUUUCUUUUUUAAUAAAAAUUUGGAUUAUAUGAUGUAGAUCCGGGAAGGGAACUAAGGGGUGUUUACAUAAUUACAUUCGAUAUUCAAGUGAAGAUUACCGCAAGAAGAUGAUGCGCUCUAAUCAGCUAUUAGGACCAAAAUUGUUUUGCUAGAUUAUUUUAGUUGACAACUAAAGUUGCGUUCUCUUGUAAAUUUAUCAUGGGAAAAAGAAGGAUAAACAAAAUUUCACCCUUUAAAUUCUUCUUUUCUUU